GACGAACGCUGGCGGCGUGCUAAUACAUGCAAGUCGAACGAGAGCGACCGGUGCUUGCACUGGUCAAUCUAGUGGCGAACGGUGAGUAACACGUGGGUAACCUGCCCAUCAGAGGGGGAUAACAUUCGGAAACGGAUGCUAAAACCGCAUAGGUUUCGAACCGCAUGGUUUGAAGAGGAAAAGGGGCGCAAGCUUCUGCUGAUGGAUGACCCGCGGUGCAUUAGCUAGUUGGUGAGGUAACGGCUCACCAAGGCCGUGAUGCAUAGCCGACCUGAGAGGGUGAUCGGCCACAUUGGGACUGAGACACGGCCCAAACUCCUACGGGAGGCAGCAGUAGGGAAUCUUCCGCAAUGGACGCAAGUCUGACGGAGCAACGCCGCGUGAGUGAAGAAGGUUUUCGGAUCGUAAAACUCUGUUGUUAGAGAAGAACAAGUGCUAGAGUAACUGUUAGCGCCUUGACGUAUCUAACCAGAAAGCCACGCUAAUACC
rnacentral:rRNA from 1 species